UAAAUACCACUGAAGGAAAUAUUUAAUGGUCAAAUUGUGAUGAGGCUUUCACAAUAACUACAUCCAUCAAUAUAGUAUUUCAAUAGAUACAUAUACAGUAAAAUUCAAAAAGGUUUCAAAACUUAAAAGGCUACGUAAACAACAAACUAUACAACAAUUGGCCGAUCCCAAAUAGUUGGGAUAAAUGCGAAAGAAAAGUCUAACGAUUAUAAACAUUUUAUCUUCGCACGGUAUUAAAUAUUCAAGCAUUUUUACUCGGCUAAAACAAUUAUAUCCGUAUAAAACCUGCAAAUAUAUAAAAACUUGUGAGUAUGAAAGUACUAUACAAAUAACACAACAAUCAUCAGAAAAAUUUGAAAAUUUUAUCAUGUCUAGAAAAUGCUAAUAUUAGUAUUCCGUGAAAAUUACAAGUCUCUUUGAGAUUUCCGAGUCUAGAUUAUUUUUUAAAUCAAUUUACUAUGACAACCACAAAAUCAAAAAUAACGAAACCGUUAAUACCUUAAAAUGUCUCGGUCUUCCUACAUUUUUCUCCGGCUUUUCCCAAUUAUUUAGAAAACUACAAGGAAAAUCCAAACAACAUCACCCGCAUGCACCGACUAAACAAAAUGUACUACACUUGAUGAUCGAAGCAAUACUUAUGUAUGGUAUAGAAGUUGUUAACCGAUUGAAAAAAAACCACACAUCACUGUGUAGUAAAAAAUCAAUCGAAAUAUCUCGUUACUGAAUUUAUAUUUAGUUUGAACGUUCGUAAAAUUCCUA